CGAAGAAAGCCUGCUGCAAUGAUCCGAGGUCUAAAUUUCAGAAGUUGGGGGUUUAACGGCAGGGCGCCGCCAGGGCCUUCCAGAACGAGAUAUAACUACUACGCUCGGGGUCCUAGCGAGCUCGCCACUAGAUUUCAGGGCCUGCCCUUUUACAGGCAGUGCCCCAACACCAAGCCAGGCUUGAGGGUUGAAAUGACGCUCGAACAGGCAUGCCCUCCGGAAUACCAGAGGGCGCAAUGUGCGUUCAAAGAUUCGAUGAUUCACUGAAUUCUGCAAUUCACAUUACUUAUCGCAUUUCGCUGCGUUCUUCAUCGAUGCCAGAACCAAGAGAUCCGUUGUUGAAAGUUUUGAUUCAUUUAUGUUUUUUACUCAGAGAUUCACUAAGAAACAAGAGUUUGGUUGGCCGCCGGCGGGCUGCUCCCUGUUCCCAGGGGGCCUCAGGAGAGAGGCCGGCCUUCGCCGAGGCAACAAUAGGUAUAAGUUCACAAAGGGUUUCUGGGUGCGCCGAGGCGCGUUCCAGCAAUGAUCCCUCCGCAGGUUCCCCCUACGGAAG
rnacentral:rRNA from 1 species